GUCUAUGGCCAUGCUACCCUGAACAAGCCCAAUCCCAGCUGAUUUCAGAAGCUAAGCAAAGUCAUGCCUGGUUAGUACUUGGAUGGGAGACCACCUAGGAAGACCAGGUGCUACAGGCG
rnacentral:rRNA from 1 species